CCAAAGCCAAGUGUAAAGGCCAUAAAACCCAUUUCCCACCGUCUACGUUUGCUUCCGUAAACCCUUGUUCCUCUUCUCUGUCUGUCAACAGAACAGCCAAAUGCUCCUCUGCAACAUUCUCAUUUCUAGUUGAAAGCGUUCAAGAAACGAAAAUGUUCCUCUUCUUCUCUGUGUCGGGCCUUUGGAUUGGCCAUCCAUGGGAGUAAUAUUGGAGGUGAGGGGAUGAAAUGUGGCUUAUCCAAAAUGGGGGAGUUUAAGGAUAAACCAUACUAAAGGGAAUCCAUUUGGUGUUCAAUACUUGCUCGUUCCGUGGAAAGAAAUUUUGUGUAAUGCUGCCCCACCUAAGGCAGCUUCUUUUGCUUGUACAGCAUCUUUGGAGGUUGGUGCAAUAGCAUUUGGGGAUGCCUCUUCAGUAAUAUAUGAAACUCCUAUUUCAAACAUAUAAGAGGGUGAAUUACUCUGGGACUUUAUAAGAACGUGCACCAGAUAUUAGUGAGGUUGUUCCAGAUGUGUACAAAAUGCGACUCUCAUUGCAGCUGCAGAAAAGCUCAACUAAACUCAAAGGAAAACAAGAAUACUGAUGAUUUGCCCUCCUUACUUUUUCCAAGAGGUUCUUCCCAGCUGUCAGCAGUCAGUAUAAUGUCUGAAAGGAGUGCACCUAAUCUCGUAUAUAAAAGGAGGAAAUUACGAAGAAACUCUGUCACCAUGUUUUCGGAAGAUCCAGAAAAGGAAGAGAGAAAGAAGAGAGAAAGAUCCUAACCAUAAUUAUCAUAAUUUAUAUCAAAUUGAUCACAUUGAUCCCAAAUAGAAUUCCAAACCAGUUGACAACUCAUGCGAAAUUUUACCAUAGCCUUGCUUUUGGUAUAAUUUCUAGUUGAUGAUCAAUCCCAUAUGUAAUUCUUGUUUCUCUACUGCAACUAGUCACAGUCCAAAUUAACGACUCUUCGGCCAAAUCCGGUUUUCA